rnacentral:tRNA from 1 species
CGGGGUGUAGUGAAUCGGUAUCACGCUACGUUCGGGACGUAGAAACAGGCAGUUCAAUUCUGCCCACCCCGA